CCACAGUAUAUCAAAGACUCAUGACUACUAAGACUUGUAGGAAUUUGUUGAUAGUAUGUCAGAGUUGUACUUUGUUAUUAUAAAAGACUGGUGACUUCUUGUGUGUGUAUGUGUGUGUGUGAUUGUUUUGUGUUCAUGUGUAUGUUUGUGAGUGUGUGUUCAUGUGUGUGUGUUGUGUUUGAGUGUGUGGUGUCUUCUGUGUAUGUGUAUGGUGUGUCUGUGUUCAUGUGUGUGGAGUGUGUAUGUAUGUGGUUUCUGGUCACUGGCUCCUUCCUAGCUCUGGAGUCUUGGAUGUUCUUCCUGAAAUAUGAGUCUCUUCCCUUUCCUGGUCUGAUAUCAAUGAACUGUUAGUAACUGAUCAUCACCCUUGCAAAUGAAGGGAACCAGGCUGAGACAGAGGCGCCCAACGCGGCAGCCCACUCCCCUCAGUUGCUAAGUAAUGAAUCAUUGCUGUAGUUACUAACCAGCUUAUCUGAGGAGCCUCACUAGCUGAUCCAGUAGGCUCUUGGUGUCAAUAGCAGUCUAAGUCCCAGGAGAUUUAGAGAUUCAUCUGGGAUCUGUAACAGGCAGCAGUGCAUGCAGAGGCGUGGGUAGAGUCUAGUUGUCCAUCUGGCUUCUGACUCCCGUGUGUUCUUGAGUUGAUUCCUUAUGCUCUCUGCCUCUCAGUUUCUUGUUUUCUAUCUCUGCCUCUGCCUCUGCCUCUGCCUCUGCCUCUGCCUCUGCCUCUGCCUCUGCCUCUGCCUCUGCCUCUGCCUAUCUAUCUAUCUAUCUAUCUAUCUAUCUAUCUAUCUAUCUAUCUAUUGGAUAUGGUGACUUGGCCUUCUCUUUGGUGUAGUCAUGUUCUGCACAACGGUGGAGCAAUGUCUAACUGUGUCUGUUGUGAUUCAAUUUUUUUAGGAACAGGGUAGUAAAUUGAUAUUUACCUUCCCAGAAAGCAUUGCACAGGGAUUGGUGACAAAAAUGAAGACGAUGAGGAGGUUGACAGGUGCCAGAGCACACAUACCCCCCAUGUACCCCAGGAUUUCCCCUUCGUAGGAAGAGCUGGGGCAUCUCUGUUGGCAGGCUAUGGAAAGAAGGCUUCUUACAAUUGAGGGUAUGCUGUAGGUGAGAAGAUCCCAUUUGAAGACCAAAGCAAGGCGGAGAAAGCCUCCCCCAGCUUGGAAGGGGCCUGCCCAGUCAUGCAUAUCCCCUUGUACACUCACAGUAGACAUCAUGGAAUAGCUUCCAAUUUCCUUCAAUGUGCAAAUUGUUAGAUUAUGGAGAUUCCUCUGGUAGUGACCAACUGAGAAUGGCCUUACCUCAUGGGUGCCUCACAUACUUAGAAGCCCACAGAGGGUGUAGUUUGGUUAACCACAACUUUCCUUUCAUCAUUCUGAAGUUAGAAAUCGGAUAGAAGUCAGAACCUAUGCAGUGGGUGUCAAAAGUGUGUAGUCAAAUACGUCUUGCCAACGUGGACUUUCUCUGCUUGCCUCCUGGGCUAAAACCUCCCAUUUGCUUAUGUCAGAGAAACGGGCUGAUGGCUGGCCUGCCUGGAUGAGCUUGCUAAAUGAAGGCACUAAGACUACCGAGGCCUGGGCAUGGGCAGAUGAGAAAGACCAGAAGAGCUUCCAGAGGAUACUAAACCUUCCUGGCCUGAUGGACAGCUGUGAGUCCCUGUGGCAGACAUUCCAAGAACCCUCAUGACCCCCAUCCCCAGUCUCAUAACCCCUUAAACAACACAUUCCCUUUAAUUAAGAGCAGGGCAGUCACCUGCUUCUAGUCAGCAGAUUAUGAUAAUGGUGAAGGGAUGUGGCAGAGAUAAUAAAUGGUUGAUUUGGAGAUAAUCAAGAGGGCUAUUUUCCUUGGCAAUGUUUGAUCUAGUAAAGGCCACCCCAAAGAGGGAUGGAGCAUUUUCAGAGAGAGAGGCCCUCCUGGGAGCUUGAUGGCUCAAGUUGAGAUAGCCCAAGUGCCAGUAUAGUUACUUCCAAGUACCAUGACCCAUGACUUCCCACAACCAUAAAGACAUGACCUUCCUCACCAACUGAACGAGCAUGGAAACAGAUUCCUGGUGAACAUCCAGAUGAGAGUGACUACACUCAAUGCCAUAGCCAUGGCUAUGAAUGAGACACAGGGGACCCAGGACCUACCUGCUUUGACUCUUCUCAGGAAGUUGUCAGGUAAUGAAUGCAUUUGUUCAAUUGCUCAGCUUCUGAUAUUUUGAUAUUCAAUAUUAGACAAUGAAAACUGUGCUCCUGAGAUAGGGAAGGGGGACAGCUGUAGACAGUGGAAAAGCAGGUGCAUCCGCACAGGAAGUGGUCCUGGUUGUGUGAUCUAGGUAGUCUGGGAAGAAGGAAAAUGUCACCCUCCCAUUCACACACAGUCAUAGGGCUCUGCUGACCUCUCUCUUCUUACCACGGUGGCCUCAAGCCAUUCCUAUUACUUCUUUUUCUGAUUGGAUUUUUGAAAGGGAGAGUUGAUUGGAAACCAGAGACAUGCCACAUUAGUGUCUGCACCUCCGAGGGAGGUUUCAUCAUGUCUAAGGCCAUGCAUCCUUACUUUCCCAGCUUUUUUUUUUUCUCAGUCUCCCUUCUGUUCCAAGAGAUGUGUAACCGUCAUUCCAGCUUUUUAAGACACAUUAUAACAAGCUACCCAGAGCUGAUCUCCAUAACUUAAAUAUUUUAACGUAUGAUGCGUUUCCUCACCAGCCUAAUUAUGUCUAAGUUGGUCCUAUCACACUGCCCAUCACUUUGUUCCUCCAAUCUUCCUGUCCUUUUCCCGUGGUUAAUGAUCCUGCAGAGAAAUGGGUCAUCAGGCCAAAACAUUUUACCUGAAAGUUACCACUUAUAACCCUAAAACUGACUAAAAGAGAAUGAGUGUGUAUAUAAGAGUAUUGUGGGUGCGGGCAUGAGUGUGUAUAUAUCAUUAAGUGCAGGUGGGUAUGUGAGUGUGAAUAUAUAAAUGUAUGUAAGUAUAUGUAUGUGAUAGGAAGAAUAAAUGUGUAUGUAUAAGUGAAUGUGUGUAUAUGUGUGAAUGUGAAUAUGUGUGUGAUAGAAAGAAUGAGUGUGUGGGUAUAAGUGUACAUAUGUAUAUGUGUGAGUGUGAAUGUGAAUAUGUGUGUGAUAGAAAGAAUGAGUGUGUGUGUAUAAGUGCAUGUGUGUAUAUGUGUGAGUGCGAAUAAAUGUGUGCAGUUGUGUGCUUGUGUGUACACUGAAACUAUGGGCUAUAGUUAAGAGGCCGCGUCUAACCAAUCAGAGGAACAGUGACAAGGCAGGAUGUAGGCAGCAGCAGAGGAAAUGCAACAGAUGUGACAAAUGAUUGUGUUAGACAACAGAACACACUCAAAGGCAAAUUGGUUGUUGGAGGCAGUAAAGAAAGGGGAGGCGUUUGGGGCUCUCAUGAUGAUGUCUCUAGUUAAAGGCCUUGGGAGAAUGAUGCAUCAUUGGCUUAGCUGAGACACGGGGAGAACAAUGAAGUUGAUUUUGAACGCACCGGAGAAGGUAUGUUUGCUGGGGAUGGAGGCAGCUGUUUCUGAAGCUCCUAACAUGGAGGAAGGACAUUGCAGUGACCAGAAGAGAAAGAGGAUAUUCUGGGACAGGGUCAAGACCCCUGCUGAUGCUCCCAGGCAAAGAGUUAAGGCUUAGGUUGGAACAGUCCCAGCUCCAUCUGCAGGGCUGGCCCUGGUUCCCAGGUCUCCUGUCACAUUGACACCCCUCUCUGCUUGUCACGAGUCAGGCACUGACAGCCUCAAUGGUGCUGGCGAUUUAUCAGAGAGUGGAAAAAGAUAAUUGACCAUCAUCUCGCCUCACCUCACCUCGCCUCCGCUGAUAGAGAAAAAUUUAACUGCUUCAUUCCACUAUAAUUUCACAUAAUUCUCCAUCUUUCUCUCCCACGUUUUUACAUGGAAGUUUACAAAAGUGAUUGAUGAUUUGCUAUCAAAUAUAAAGAAAAAGAAGCUAAACUAUCACCGGACAGUUUAACAGCCUUUAAAAUAUAAUGGUUUCUCUGGCUGGACAUCCACAGUUGCCGUAGAAUCUCAGAAGGUCAAGCUUUAAUGAACUGGUAAGAAUUAGAGACGUAAAGUAAGCGAUCAGCGCUCAGUGCUGGCUCCACUGUCCAGUGACCUUGGGGGAGGGGGAGCGAGAGACACUAUUCCUUAUAAUACCCCUCUGGGAAUGUUCCAGGGCUGUCUCAAGUCACUGAGUGGGGUGGUGAGGUGGCCUGAAAAGGGGAGUCUAGGAUCCCUAGUUACAGCAAGAUAAGGCUGCUUGGCCUUAGCUUGCACUCAGUUUAGCAUUGAGGCUCCACCCUUUACAUGUGUGUUUGUACAUGUUGUAUGCCUCUAUGUGAGUGUGAAUGUGAAGGUUGACACUGGACGUCCUUCUCAAUUGCUCUCCACCUUGUUUUUUUGAGACAGGAUCCCCCACAGGAUCUGGGACUCACUGAUUUGGCGAGACUGUCUGUCCAGUGAACUCCAGGGAUGCUCUAGUUUCUAAACAAUGGGAUUGCAGGCAUUUGCUGACCCAGCUUUUGUACUUCGUUCUGGGGAUCUAAAUUGAGGUCCUUAUGAUUGUGUAGCAAGCACUUUACCCACUGAGCCAUCUCCCCAGUCCCUCUGACUCAGACACACCUAACCUAACCUAUAGUUCCAGGGCGGUGCUGCCCUUUAUAGCCAGAGAAGGCAAGCUCUCCGUUGCCAUCGCUUCUGGUCCCUGACUUGCUUCCUUGUCCUGUUUUGGCAGUGAAGAAUCGCUCCAUAGCCUCCUUUGCAUACAAACCUCCCAGCUUAUCUGUGUCUAGGAGGAGGACCGGCACUUAGCUUCUGUAUGUCAUCCACUCCACACCAUGCUCUCUACACGGUCUUGAUGAGUGUUUUUCUUUAAUUCUUGAGGUUGUUAUUGUAAUAUUUACAUAUAGUGCAAGAAUGUAAAGUUCAGAAAUCAUGGCUAGUGGCUAAAAAGAUUCCCGGUGAUCCCUACUUCUCAGUGUCUGUGCCCUUGUCUAACUGCCCUCUUUGGAGGGUGGGCAGGGUGCUGUGGCUUGUUUCUAAUGUGCAGAAUAUGGUAGGUGAUGGGAUGUCACUUCCAGGAUUAGGAUUAUAAAGUGACUGUCCUUUCCAAGUGUCUCUUUACUGCUUGAUGUGUAUGGACGCUUGCUGCCAUGACGUGCGCUGCCUGGCAGAAAGACCUGGAUGGCAAGGGACCAAGGAAGGCAUCCAGCCAGCAUCCUGGGCUGACCUGAAUGAUGGCACCGGCUUCAUGGCAGACCUCAGCUGAGCCUUGAGUGAAACUGCAGUUUAUGCUGUCACCUCGAUUGCCACCCGUGACACCCCGAGAAGACACUCCUGGAUCCAUGACUCACAGAAACUAUACAAUCGAACAUGCAUGCUAUUUGACAAGGCCAUGUUUUAUUGUCCUUUGCUACCCAGACUCAAAAUUGGGACUGCUUGUUGUUAAAGUAUUGUGAUAUUUAUAAUAACACUAUUUUGACUUAGAAAAGAUCAGAGGGACUAGAGAGAUAACUCAGGAGGAAAAAGGUCUUGCCAUAUAGUAUAAGUACUUGAGUUUGAAUCCCCUGCAUGAAAAGCCACUCAUGUGUGUGCAACACCCAUGCCCCGCCCCCAUAACACACACACACACACACACACACACACACACACACACACACACACAAACGUGCGCACAACCGAGACUGGCAUGCACUUGUAGCUCCAAAAUGAGUGCUCUUUUGCUAGCAGAGUUCCGAGAGGUCCAGAGGGUCAGGGUCUCAUAUGUCCCGUGGUCUUCACCGCACUGUUGAGCCUUGUGGUGUGGUUGCAGCCUGGAGUCUGGAGGAUGGUGACUGCUUCUCCACAGAGCUCUUUCCCAUUAGACAGACGGUUCUGGAACAUCUGCC
rnacentral:lncRNA from 1 species